CGGCCUGACUCUGUCUCGGGCCGGGAGGUGCUUUUGUGCUCGGCCGCGUCUUCGCCAACAAAUGUCGCUGCCCCCGGCUCGGCGUAGGUGUAUCCCAUUCAGGCACUGCUUAUCGUGAGGCUGCCAGGACUAACGCCAUGACAAGCGGCCCAGACUAGGAGUAGGCCUAAGUCUCAGUUCCCCGAAAUGGUCGACGGGAUUGAACCCUGGGUUCACUGCAAUCACGUGUGGCAAGCCACACCGGAAGAA
rnacentral:lncRNA from 1 species